rnacentral:rRNA from 1 species
UAUUUCCACCCAGCCGUCACGACAGAACUCGUUCAGCGCAUUCCAGUGAUUCAGGAUAUAGUCGAACGCCUUCGCCAUCUCCGCAUGUUUCGACA